rnacentral:rRNA from 1 species
CCUACGGGAGGCAGCAGUGAGGAAUAUUGGUCAAUGGACGAGAGUCUGAACCAGCCAAGUAGCGUGAAGGAUGACUGCCCUAUGGGUUGUAAACUUCUUUUAUAUGGGAAUAAAAUGUUCCACGUGUGGGAUUUUGUAUGUACCAUAUGAAUAAGGAUCGGCUAACUCCGUGCCAGCAGCCGCGGUAAUACGGAGGAUCCGAGCGUUAUCCGGAUUUAUUGGGUUUAAAGGGAGCGUAGGUGGAUUGUUAAGUCAGUUGUGAAAGUUUGCGGCUCAACCGUAAAAUUGCAGUUGAUACUGGCAGUCUUGAGUACAGUAGAGGUAGGCGGAAUUCGUGGUGUAGCGGUGAAAUGCUUAGAUAUCACGAAGAACUCCGAUUGCGAAGGCAGUUCACUGGACUGCAACUGACACUGAGGCUCGAAAGUGUGGGUAUCAAACAGGAUUAGAUACCCUAGUAGUC